GACGAACGCUGGCGGCGUGCCUAAUACAUGCAAGUCGAACGCACUCUCGUUUAGAUUGAAGGAGCUUGCUCCUGAUUGAUAAACAUUUGAGUGAGCGGCGGACGGGUGAGUAACACGUGGGUAACCUGCCCUAAAGUGGGGGAUAACAUUUGGAAACAGAUGCUAAUACCGCAUAAAACCUAACACCGCAUGGUGUAGGGUUGAAAGAUGGUUUCGGCUAUCACUUUAGGAUGGACCCGCGGUGCAUUAGUUAGUUGGUGAGGUAAAGGCUCACCAAGACCGUGAUGCAUAGCCGACCUGAGAGGGUAAUCGGCCACACUGGGACUGAGACACGGCCCAGACUCCUACGGGAGGCAGCAGUAGGGAAUCUUCCACAAUGGACGAAAGUCUGAUGGAGCAACGCCGCGUGAGUGAAGAAGGUUUUCGGAUCGUAAAACUCUGUUGUUGGAGAAGAAUGUAUCUGAUAGUAACUGAUCAGGUAGUGACGGUAUCCAACCAGAAAG
rnacentral:rRNA from 1 species